CUCUGAUAGUGCUGAUCUCUGCUGGAUCUAUGUUGGUUGUUGCUGCAGUCGGGAUUCUCUGCAUCUACAAGAAAUGUAGAAAAAUUGACAAAGAAGGCAAGCGUUACCAACUGCUUUUAAACAUGAAUUUUAACAAAUAAUAGUUUGAAAAUAAUCGCUAAUUUUUUUUUAGUAAACUGAUUGCUCUAUUAUAUCAUUUAAUUAAAAUUAUUCUCAUAAUUUUGUAGUUGACAUCCUUUAUAGGAAAACAAAUUAACGUGUAAUUAUUGGCUUUAACUAUUUCUACAGAUCACAGUCAUAUCAGAAUUCUUGUUUAUUUAAUGANGCUUCGUCUCUCUGAUAGUGCUGAUCUCUGCUGGAUCUAUGUUGGUUGUUGCUGCAGUCGGGAUUCUCUGCAUCUACAAGAAAUGUAGAAAAAUUGACAAAGAAGAUGAGACUUCUGCAGAAGAGAUCAAUUACACCAUGCCGACAUUCAUCAAAACAAACACACACGAAUCGUUUUUACAGGAAGUUAGAGAGGACAAUCAUGUGGAUUAUACACCAAUCAUGAUGAGAUGAUGACCAAACGUCAAGACCCAGAUUGUGUGAUCAUUUUCACUAGAAACCUCCAGCUGCGUCCUCAGACUCUGAGUCUACGGUUGAGUUUUGAGAUUGUGAAAAUCACCAGUUUGCAUAAUCACAGCCCACAUAUAGCAGGAUCAUCCAAAAGGGUUUUAAAGAAUGAUAAAUAAUAAUAAAUUAAUGAAAUGGUCUCCUAAAGCUUCA
ensembl:lncRNA